rnacentral:rRNA from 1 species
GAUGAACGCUGGCGGCGUGCCUAAUACAUGCAAGUCGAGCGGAAAGGCCCUUCGGGGUACUCGAGCGGCGGACGGCUGAGUAACGCGUAGGAACGUACCCCAAAGUGAGGGAUAACUGCUCGAAAGAGUAGCUAAUACCGCAUGUGCUCUUCGGAGUAAAGCUUCGGCGCUUUGGGAACGGCCUGCGUCCUAUUAGCUAGCUGGUGAGGUAAUUGCUCACCAAGGCGACGAUAGGUAGCUGGUCUGAGAGGAUGAUCAGCCAGACUGGGACUGAGACACGGCCCAGACUCCUACGGGAGGCAGCAGUAGGGAAUUUUCCACAAUGGGCGAAAGCCUGAUGGAGCAACGCCGCGUGCGGGAUGAAUGCCUUCGGGUUGUAAACUGCUUUUAUAGGUGAAGAAUAUGACGGUAACCUAUGAAUAAGGAUCGGCUAACUCCGUGCCAGCCGCCGCGGUAA